GUUACUGAAUUACCGUACUGCAUCAGCUGUCUUUUGGAAUUACAGAUUACAUGACAGGUUGAUUUGUCUGUUACGGCAGGUGUUUAACAUAUCUACCUAACCUGAGUUUAUCCUGUUUUAAAACAUAAUGCACAAUCUGGGUAUUACUAGUACUGUAGUGGUAUUGGGUGUCUUCGGGCAUCAAAAUGAGUCACAGUCGUUCAGGUUACAUGUCACGAGUGGGGCUUCAUUCUCAACAAAAUAUUAAACAAAGAGAAGUAUACAUGCAGUCCGUACAAUGUAGUUUGUUAAAUUGCAGUAUAUAUUACACAAACAUCUAGACGAACAUAUACGAAUACGAGAUAUACCUAAUUAUUUAUCUAAUUUUUUUUUUUUUUAAAUUUCUUGGCUUUAUUGCUAUAUACCUCUGCGUGUGCUGUAACCUCACCGUGGUGCAGGGGUGUAACAUUCUCUUUGAGAAUGGCCAAUACAGCACAAAUUAAAAUUUUGAGUAAAGGAAUGCCAGACAACUCGGCCCGGAGGACAACUCGGCCCAGACAACUCCGCCCAGAGUUCUGAGACAACCCGGCCCACCGCGAGACAAUUCAGCCCGGAGUCCAGAGACAACUUGUUGGACAAGUGUUGUUUUAAAUUAAAGUAUUCUCACUGAAAUCAAAGAAUGUGUUUUUGUUAGUAUUGAAUUAGUCCAACCUUAACCUAAACGUCCCGAAAUGAUUUUGAGACAGGUAUUUAUAUUUUAGGGGAUUAAACAUUUAAAAUACAUUUCUUGAAUUUGUAACAGACUUUGAGACACGUGACUAUGCGAAUAUGUGGAUCUUUAAACUUAUGUUUAUAUUUGUUAUGCCGGUUUGUCUCGGAGAGGAAGAUGCGACGGCGACAGAGGAAGGCCUUCAGGAAUCUACAGGGGAAAAUUUUCGAACUGUGGGGACGCUACACAGAUGGUGACGUGUCCACUUCUAGAUUCCUGUCGGCCUUAUUUCUAUGUUCUUUUGGUGAUUGGUGUUUUAUUUCAUUAUUAUAACUAUUUAUGUAUAUGUGUUCUGUUGGUUUUUAACGUAUAUAUAUGUGUGUUUAAUGUAAUAAAUGUGAGAAUUUGGCAAA